rnacentral:rRNA from 1 species
UACAGAGGGGGCAAGCGUUAUUCGGAAUUAUUGGGCGUAAAGGGCGCGUAGGCGGCCUGGCAAGUGGAAGGUGAAAUCCCUCGGCUUAACCGAGGAACUGCCCUCCAAACUGCUUGGCUUGAGUCCGGGAGAGGUGAGUGGAAUCCCGAGUGUAGCGGUGAAAUGCGUAGAUAUUAGGGAGAACGACCAGUGGCGAAGGCGGCUCACUGGACCGGAACUGACGCUGAGGCGCGAAAGCGUGGGGAGCAAACGGG